AUGGACAAUUCAUCUUCACUCACCUCAUCUGUUUUUUCAUUGGACUGUGAGAACGCUAACCUCGUAGCACAGCCUGUAGCCUUCGCAGCUGCCCAGCACGUAACUCAGUCAGCUGCCCAGCACGUAACUCAGUCAGCUGCCCAGCACGUAACUCCAUCACAUUCAGCCUCACAAUCCAUAGCCCAGUCAAUAGCUCAGUUGGUAAAGGAAUCAUUAGCUUUGUCAUCUGCUCAGUCAGCCACUCAUCUUCACCCUCAGUCAGGGGUCCCUAUUGCCUCUGGCCCUGCAUCUACUCCAGCUGGUGGGCCCGAGUCGCCCGUCCAGCCUCAAGUUUCGUUUGCUGGGGGUUCGGGAGAACCCAGCCAGUCUCAAGUUUUGUCAGCUGGAGGGUCCGAGGAGCCCGUCCAGCCUCUUGCCACGUUUGCUGGAGGCUCCGAGGAGCCCACCCAGCACCAGGCCUUGUUAGCUGAGGGUCCUGGAGGACCCAGCCAGCACAUACUCACAUCUGCUGACGGUCCGGGGAAGUCUGUUCAGCCGUCACCUGCUGAAUCAUCCCCCGCGACUUCUACAUCAUCGCCUGCAGCAUCCGCAUCAUCGCCUGCAGCAUCGCUGCCGUCAGGUUCCGCAGCCGUCCCGCUGCCGUCUGGUCCUGCCUCUGUGUCGUCAUCCGCGCCUGGUCCUGACUCUGUGUCGUCAUCCGCGCCUGGUCCUGCCUCUGUGUCGUCAUCCGCGCCCGCAGCAGCAGCUUCGUCCUCGCUUGCAGAGGAGCUCAGCGAGUGCGAGGAGCCCGCGCCACCUGCAGAAGAGCUCGGCGAGCGCGAGGAGCCCGCGCCACCUGCAGAAGAGCUCGGCGAGCGCGAGGAGCCCGCGCCACCUGCAGAAGAGCUCGGCGAGCGCGAGCAGCCCGCGCCACCUGCAGAAGAGCUCGGCGAGCGCGAGCAGCCCGCGCCACCUGCAGAAGAGCUCGGCGAGUGCGAGGAGCCCGCGCCGCCAGCAGAGGAGCUCGGCGAGCCGCGGCAGGAGAGAGCACCGGAGGGGCCUGCGCCGCCUGAUCAGGAGCUCAGCGAGCUGGAGCAGGAGCGCGGUGAGCCAGAGGAGCCCGCACUGUCAUCGGAGGAAGACCUCGGUGAGUCGGAGGGACCGCCACGUCCUCCGCGACCAGCAGCGCGACCAGCAGCGCGACCAGCAGCACGGCCGGCACGUCCUCCGCGACCAGCAGCACGGCCAGCAUAUCGUGGAUUGUGUGUUGCGCUACAUUGGCGCCCACCGGAGAUGCAGCAGCGCCACCGUCACCGAAUCCGUGGCAGGCCACCUGAACCGUUUCGCUGCCGCUGCCGGACCCAUGGCCGCCCGCCGGAGCAGCAGCGUUGCCGCCACUGGACUCGUGGCAGGCCACCGGAGCUGCCGCUCCAUUGCUGCCGGAUCUGUGGUCACCCGCCAGAGCCACAUUGCUGCUGCCACUGGACCCAUGGUAGGCCACCUGAACACUUGGGUUAUGGUUUUCGGCCACAUGAACUGCUCUAUGGGGACUGUUUUCACGCCGCUGCUGGGUGUGCGGUCUGA
ensembl:lncRNA